rnacentral:rRNA from 1 species
GGGUUGUGAGGUUAAGCGACUAAGCGUACACGGUGGAUGCCCUGGCAGUCAGAGGCGAUGAAGGACGUGCUAAUCUGCGAUAAGCGUCGGUAAGGUGAUAUGAACCGUUAUAACCGGCGAUUUCCGAAUGGGGAAACCCAGUGUGUUUCGACACACUAUCAUUAACUGAAUCCAUAG